rnacentral:tRNA from 1 species
GGGGUUGUGACUUAGCAGUAGAGUGCUUCCCUAGCAUGCAUGAGGCACUGGGUUCGAUCCCCAGCACCACA